rnacentral:lncRNA from 1 species
UGGGUCUCGGGACAUAAGGCAGAUGGUGCAGAGCUCGGGGUCUUUGCUACUUGGAGAUUUAGCGGAGUGGAAUGAGCUACAGGACCAAUGGAAGAGCUCUUUAUGGAGGAACCAGUUUUCUUAAGUUUCAGUGGAGUUUUUUCCCCCUCAGUGUCCGUAUCUGACUCAUCUUGAUCCUUAUCAUCCUCAUCAUCUUCAUCUUCAGACCCAUCUGUAUCUGACUCGGAAUUACUGUCAGACUCUGAUUGGCUAUCAUCAGAAUCAUCAUCUUCAUCAUCCUCAUCUUCAUCUUCAUCGUCGUCAUCAUCAUCAUUUGAGUCGUCAGAUUCUUUACUGCUGGGGGCAUCUGAGUCUACCCCUCUGAACUGCUCC